UGGGGAAUAUUGGACAAUGGGCGAAAGCCUGAUCCAGCCAUGCCGCGUGUGUGAAGAAGGCCUUUUGGUUGUAAAGCACUUUAAGUGGGGAGGAAAAGCUUAUGGUUAAUACCCAUAAGCCCUGACGUUACCCACAGAAUAAGCACCGGCUAACUCUGUGCCAGCAGCCGCGGUAAUACAGAGGGUGCAAGCGUUAAUCGGAAUUACUGGGCGUAAAGCGCGCGUAGGUGGUUAUUUAAGUCAGAUGUGAAAGCCCCGGGCUUAACCUGGGAACUGCAUCUGACACUGGAUAACUAGAGUAGGUGAGAGGGGAGUAGAAUUCCAGGUGUAGCGGUGAAAUGCGUAGAGAUCUGGAGGAAUACCGAUGGCGAAGGCAGCUCCCUGGCAUCAUACUGACACUGAGGUGCGAAAGCGUGGGUAGCAAACAGGAUUAGAUACCCUGGUAGUCCACGCCGUAAACGAUGUCUACCAGUCGUUGGGUCUUUUAAAGACUUAGUGACGCAGUUAACGCAAUAAGUAGACCGCCUGGGGAGUACGGCCGCAAGGUUA
rnacentral:rRNA from 1 species